GGGACGCACCGGGACACAACUCUCUCUUCUCUGAUAAGGAAGAGGUCCCUGGUUCGAGUCCAGGCAGGCCCA
rnacentral:tRNA from 1 species